GCCUAUGGUUAUCUGAUUGGCACACCGUAACUGCUCUAUUUCGUGCAUUUACACUUAAGCCUCUAAUAAUAGUUCUUUGAAAAGCACUGUCUUGUAUUUAACUGAUGAUUGGCUCCAGCAAUUAAAUCCUACCACACUUUAGAAUGCUGGACUAUUCUGCUGCUUCCCAGAGUUGGAAAGAAAGGAGUUGACUCACAUCUUACCCAUCUCACUCCAGGUCAGCAAUGGCACUGGAGGCAGUGCUGGGGAUACUGAGGAUAUUGCUGUUUUGAGUGGCAUGUGUUUGCUCUGGAGAAAACAGCUUCCCAGGAGCAGUCAUUUCUAACCUCUACUACGCAUCAGAGUCAUCCAGAGAGCUUGUUAAAACACAGAUUUCUGCGUCCCACCCUCAGAGUUUGCUGACUGAGAAGGUCUGGGUUGGACCAAAGAAUCUGCAUUUUUUAAAAGUUCCAUGGUCUAGGACCACACUUUGAGAACUGCUGUUCCAAAGAACCACCUGCUUUAUACUCUGGUUUCUCUUCGGAUCAUAUAAAUCUGCCUUUUAAAAAAGCACCUGUUGGAUCUAUGAAACUGAUGCAGCCGGUAGUUUCUCAUUAUGGUCUCAUUACCCUUUACAUUGAAAAAUACAAAGCCACUUCAAUUGCCAUUUCACAGUACAGCCCAUGGCCUGGAACGGGCACAGCUGCCCUCUUUAGGUUGAAAAUAUUUGGCAAAUAAGGAAUGCUGGCAAGAGAGGCUGCAGUUUUGACACCUACACCUUGAUUUGGGAUUCAUUUUUCUCACUCAGGAUUUGGCAAGCGUAUGUCUUCUUUAAAGUGAGACUGAAAAUAAGCUCUGACUCACAAACCUAGCUUAAAACACCACAAAGAGUAAACAACUAUUUCCAUAACUAAUAAUUAUUAAAAUAUGUUUUUGAGUUUUUGCAUAACUUGCCUGUAUAAUGAGAUCUAAGUAUUUACAUGGAAUUUCUACAUUACUGUGUGAAUAAAUUAACAGAACUAAAACCUGCCUCCUGACCUCUAGCCUCUCCCUGAUGUCAGCCUGUGCUCAACCCUG
rnacentral:lncRNA from 1 species